rnacentral:rRNA from 1 species
GUGGGGAAUCUUGCGCAAUGGGCGAAAGCCUGACGCAGCCAUGCCGCGUGAAUGAUGAAGGUCUUAGGAUUGUAAAAUUCUUUCACCGGGGACGAUAAUGACGGUACCCGGAGAAGAAGCCCCGGCUAACUUCGUGCCAGCAGCCGCGGUAAUACGAAGGGGGCUAGCGUUGCUCGGAAUUACUGGGCGUAAAGGGCGCGUAGGCGGACAGUUUAGUCAGAGGUGAAAGCCCAGGGCUCAACCUUGGAAUUGCCUUUGAUACUGGCUGUCUUGAGUACGGGAGAGGUGAGUGGAACUCCGAGUGUAGAGGUGAAAUUCGUAGAUAUUCGGAAGAACACCAGUGGCGAAGGCGACGAUCUGGGCCUGAACUGACGCUGAGGAGCGAAAGCUAGGGGAGCAAACAGGAUUAGAUACCCGAGUAGUCC